rnacentral:piRNA from 1 species
UCCUUGCAUGGACUGAUUCUGUAUUCCCACA